rnacentral:rRNA from 1 species
UUAGGUGGCCAUGGCGACGGGGCCCACCCCUUACCAUUCCGAACAGGGAAGUUAAGCCCGUCUGCGCCGAUGGUACUGC